UACGUAGGGGGCAAGCGUUGUCCGGAAUUACUGGGCGUAAAGGGCGCGUAGGCGGCGACCCAAGUCAGAUGUGAAAGUCCUGGGCUUAACCGGGGAACUGCGUCUGAUACUGGAUGGCUUGAGUUCGGGAGAGGGAUGCGGAAUUCCAGGUGUAGCGGUGAAAUGCGUAGAUAUCUGGAGGAACACCGGUGGCGAAGGCGGCAUCCUGGACCGACACUGACACUGAGGAGCGAAAGCCAGGGGAGCAAACGGG
rnacentral:rRNA from 1 species